GGGGCAAUCAAGAAGAAAAAC
rnacentral:misc_RNA from 1 species